CUAGGGGUGUACAGACUCCGGAGGGGCUCCAUCAGCCCAAACGCUAUAUAAAGCCAAUAUGGCCUACUGCAAGCGGGCAGUCCCGAUCCGUAUAAUAAUAAAGCCUAAAGGUCUGCUACAGGCGGGCAUCCCUGAUUCAUAAAAUAGUAAAGCCUAUAAGGCCUGCUGCAGGCGGGUAGUCCCGGUCCAUAUAAUAAUAAUGUAUAAAGUUAUUAUGGCCUGCUGCGUCGCGCAGCUCAAUCCCAUAAAUAUCCUCACAAUGGACAAAUAUUACUGAGUGUGAAAUAUAUACUUUUGAACAAUUAAUUCAACAGCAACACGACCCCAUGGGUCCCAAAAUAUUGGCACGUAGCCUAAACAUGAUCUUUAGUAGGAGCCUCAGCUCAAUUUCUCUAACACGUGGAGAAUGUUCAGAUAAUAAUAUGAUUCAUUAAUCUUACAACUGCACAGGAUUUAUUCAAGGCACAAUUUAUAUGGUGCACGUCCACAUGCUCGUCACCUAUCAUGUGUGUCACCUCCAAACAAUUUAUAUCAUACCAAAUUCGGGGAUUCAUACCCUCAGAACCAAGUUUAGAAGUGUUACUUACCUCAAACCGUGUAAUUCUUUACUCCGGUAUGCCUUUGCCUCGUGAAUUGGCCUCCAAACCCCUCGAAUCUAGUCACAAUUAAUUCGAUUCAGUCAAUAAAAUUUAUUGGAAUUAAUUCCAUAAGAAAAUACUAAUUUUCCAUAAAAAUUCGAAAAUUAGCUCAAAAAUUGCUUGUGGGACCCACGUCUCGGAACUCGAUAAAAGUUAUAAAAUCCGAAAGCCCAUUCAACCACGAGUCUAACCAUACCAAUUUUACCAAAAUCCGACCUCAACUCGACCCAAAAAUCUUCAAUUUAAACCAAGAGGGUUUUCUAAAUGUUUCAACUUAAUUCACCCAUUAAAUGAUGGAUUCAAAGACAUAAUCAUGGAAAUUAAUCAAAACUCGAUAAAAAUCACUUACCCCAAACACCCACGCAAGAAUCUCUCCAAAAAUCGCCUUCUACCGAGCUCCCAAUUUGAUUCCCCGUUUUGGAACUUUUAAUUCUGCCCAGAAUUUCCUUCAUCGCGUUCGCGACCAUAGAUUCGCGUUCGCGAAGCACAAAAAAAAUGUCCUGCCAAGAUUCCUUCGCGUUCGCGAUAUCCUCAUUGCGUUCCCGAUGCCUUCCGAUCUCUGCCCUUCGCGUUCGCGAGACACGAGACGUGUUCGCGAAGGCUUAACGCCAGGUAGGCCCCCAACUCCCUUUCCUCUUCGCGUGUGCAUCUGUCCACUCACGUUCGCGUAGGCUUUCCCCAGCUCCCUUCUUCGCGUUCGCGUCUUCUUCAUCGCGUUCGCGAUGGGCAAAUCUCAACCGUCCAAAAUCCUCCUUCACGAACGUGUGAGACCCUUCGUGUUCACGAAGAACAAUACCAGAUAUGAGUUCCAGCAGUUGCAAAACAAGGAAAAAUGAUCCGAAACCGUCUCGGAACUCACCCGAGGCCCCCGGGACCUCAACCAAAUAUACCAACAAGUCCUAAAACAUUAGAUGAACUUAGUUGAACCCUCAAAUCGCCUCAAACAAUGCUAAAACCAUGAAUUACACCCCAAUUCAAGCCUAAUGAACUUUGAAAUUUCUAAUUUCUACAAACGACGCCGGAAUCUAUCAAAUCAUGUCCGAUUGACCUCAAAUUUUGUACACAAGUCAUAAAUGACAUAACAGAGGUAUUCAAAUUUUGAGAAUCGGAUUCCGACCCUGAUAUCAAAAAUUCAACUUUCGGCAUUUCAAGCCUAAUUCCAUUACGAACCUUCAAUUAAUUUUUCGAACACGCUCCUAAGUCCAAAAUCACCAUACGGAGCUAUUGGAAUUAUCAGAAUUCAAUUCCGAGGUCGUUUACUCAUAAGUCAAUAUCCGGUCAACUUUUUCAACUUAAGUUUUCAAUUAUGAGACUAAGUGUUUCAUUUCACUCC
rnacentral:lncRNA from 1 species